rnacentral:rRNA from 1 species
UGCGGAGGAUGCGAGCGUUAUCCGGAUUUAUUGGGUUUAAAGGGUGCGUAGGCGGAGUGUCAAGUCAGCGGUAAAAUUUCGGGGCUCAACCCCGUCGUGCCGUUGAAACUGACGCCCUUGAGUGAGUGAGAAGUAAGCGGAAUGCGUGGUGUAGCGGUGAAAUGCAUAGAUAUCAGGAGGAACAUCGGUGGCGAAGGCGGUCUGCUGGACAGCAACUGACGCUGAGGCGCGAAAGCGUGGGGAGCAAACAGG